GAGUUUGAUCCUGGCUCAGGACGAACGCUGGCGGCGUGCCUAAUACAUGCAAGUCGAGCGGAUCUUCAUUAGCUUGCUUUUGAAGAUCAGCGGCGGACGGGUGAGUAACACGUGGGCAACCUGCCUGUAAGACUGGGAUAACUUCGGGAAACCGGAGCUAAUACCGGAUGAUCCUUUUCCUCUCAUGAGGAAAAGCUGAAAGACGGUUUCGGCUGUCACUUACAGAUGGGCCCGCGGCGCAUUAGCUAGUUGGUGAGGUAACGGCUCACCAAGGCGACGAUGCGUAGCCGACCUGAGAGGGUGAUCGGCCACACUGGGACUGAGACACGGCCCAGACUCCUACGGGAGGCAGCAGUAGGGAAUCUUCCGCAAUGGACGAAAGUCUGACGGAGCAACGCCGCGUGAGCGAUGAAGGCCUUCGGUCGUAAAGCUCUGUGUCAGGAGAACAAGUAUCGGAGUAACUG
rnacentral:rRNA from 1 species